rnacentral:rRNA from 1 species
UACGAAGGGGGCUAGCGUUGCUCGGAAUCACUGGGCGUAAAGGGUGCGUAGGCGGGUCUUUAAGUCAGGGGUGAAAUCCUGGAGCUCAACUCCAGAACUGCCUUUGAUACUGAAGAUCUUGAGUUCGGGAGAGGUGAGUGGAACUGCGAGUGUAGAGGUGAAAUUCGUAGAUAUUCGCAAGAACACCAGUGGCGAAGGCGGCUCACUGGCCCGAUACUGACGCUGAGGCACGAAAGCGUGGGGAGCAAACAGGAUUAG